GAAGCUUAUCGCAAACUUUAAUCUUUUAUUUCUAUCUCGGGCCGAAGUACUUGCACAUUUUAUUUUAUCUCUAAAUAACGAUUUCACGUUCAGAAGCACGGACAUCGUGAGCAUUUUCCUGAUGGAGCCGAGAGACUCUCAAAUCACCAUUUAGCGUAUCCGGCUGUAAGCAUUGGGCUCGGCCGAGAUUAUUACCCUAAUUUGACUCAGGUACUCAUUCAUGGAACCAUUUAAUUUUCACAGGACAAAAAAGAUGGCUUCCGGUUGUCGUGGUUUUUCAGUCAAGAUCGCAAUUGCCGUCCGCGCAUCUGCCUUGGUGUUUGUUUUUAUUUGUGCGAUGGUGUUAGCAUACGUGGCUUGAUUUGAUAUAGACAUUUUUCAGUUUGGUGCCAAAAUCAAUCGUAGAAUGCGGCGAUCUGAAUAUCACAGUCACUUUAUUGUGUGAGUGCCCGUAUUUAUGGUAUAGACACGUAUUUGUUUUGCUCGAACUAACUUAUUUGCGAUCUGAUGCCGUCGUUUCUCGACCGAGGCCGCUCUGCUACAUUGAUUUUGGUGACCGUGGUUUAGAAUUCAUUCAAGCCAUUGAAUGCAUUUUUUUGACCGGCUUGCCACUGAACUUGUCACCAAAAGAGGGCAGGUAGGAUCUAUCGGAGGGGAGUUACUCCAACUAUAUUUUAUUUAUCUCUUUCCCAGAUCUCCGAAUUUUAUUUUUGUUAUACUGGAGGUAGAACAAAGUACGUUGGCUCGAUCCUUCCUUUAUCUGGGCUUUUGACCAGCUUGCUAUAUAAAUAACAUGGCGGAGUUAAAAAUUAACCUACACCUCUCUCUACAUCUUCAAGAAAGAAAGUUGCACCCUGCCAACCAUGUGUCAUCAAUAGCCCGCAAUGCACCUACAAUCAAUAGAGUAUCUUUACGAGCCGUAUUAAAUGUGGAAUGAUAGCUACUACCAUACGUUCCCAAUCCCAUUAAUAUAUUUAGAAAAUCCUGUCUCCGGCAGUGCAGUAAGGAAAAUAUUAACAAAAUCAUUUUUUUGGUAAUAAAUUCCAACAAUGGUGAGAUUAUGAUGAUUUCCCAAAAAUUUCUAGAAAAUUUAGUCAACA